UCCGCUCCGGCAAGCAGGCUGAGCGGGGCCAGGAGGUGAUCAAUACCAGUGGAAAGUGCUGCUGCGGCGGCGGCGGCGGCGGCGGCUGCGCUCGGUGCCAGGCGGCAUCUGGGGUUCAUCAUGAUACCAUGAAAACUUAACACAAAUAAACAACUUGCUUCGCAAGAGUUGAAGAUAUUUUGUGCCGCUGACUCUUAUCAUCAUACUACACACCAGAAUGCCCAGAAAUAGAAAUGGGAGACUGCAGAGUAACAUUGCUUUAUGAGAAAACAGAAAUAACUGAAAAAUGUCAUCUUACAGAAGGUAAAAUUGAGCCCUGGUAGAGAUAGAAUGUCUGACCGAGAGACCAUGUACUUGGACUUGCCCCUCAGGAUCUGAGUUCUGUUGGUUUCAUCAAAUCUUAAGGUCAGGCAGGCCAAGCAACACAAGAUGGCAGUGGGAUAUCUGGGGUUGAGCACCAGCAAGACUAGAGAGCAAAUGCAGGCUGGGUGAGCAAAAGCCUACACCCCAAAUCAGCACUUUGGCUGACAUGGAUGGCCAUAUGGGAAUUCAUCACAAUCAGCUGAUAGAUGAGGAAAUAACCCGAACUUGACUUAUGGGUGGAUCUGCCUGAUUUGUGGGUACCAAGCAAGAACUUGGGAGUGACCUUGAAACACUAUUGUGUGGCUAAUCAUUCCAGGAAGCCAGCUGCUUUGGGUGAUACAGGAUAUGAUACAAACAGUGGGUCCUAUAGUCUUAGAAGACUGGCAGAUCCUCUGCUGUGAGGUGGACCCCUGGUCUGUGUGGGAUCCUUACUGGUGGACCAAACACGGUUACCCUUCAGGUGGUGUUUCUGGUUGGGGUUCUGCAGGCAGGAAAGGCAAACCCAUACCUGGAGGAUGUGCCUGUUUAGGGUAUGACAAAUCUCUGGUCCUUCUGGGAUGGGAGGGCCAUGGUAUCAAUGACUGAUACCAGCCAUCCAAGUCAUUUUGUCUACUUGGCUGGUUAGUGUCUCUUCUCUGGUGGAUGCUCUCUGAUACACAGAUCUCCACAGCUUGUGCUCACUGCCAUAUCUACUCAUAUGUGUCUACCUUAGACAUCAUUGCACUUAAUUUUUCCAUUUUCUGUUUUCCAGGUCUCUGACCAUUUGACCAUUUUAGGACCCCUUGUCCAAAAAGCUAGGCCAUUUGCCACUGCCUGAGUCAUUGAUAGUCUAACCUUGGGCCACUUCUUCUACCCAAAGUGGAUAGGAGCGUGUACAUAUACUAGGAGCAUUUAUAUGCAUAUGUAUUUCCAUUCCAAUGUUUUGAUUUUUUGUGAGUCAAUAUUUAGAAGUUGAAUUGCUGGGUCAUACUCUAAGUAUAUGUUUCACUCUAUAAGAAACUGUCAAAGGGUUUUCAAAGUGGCUGCAGCAUUUAACGUUCCCAUCAGCAAAGUAUGAGAAUUACAUGUUAGUGCUUAGUCUUUUCAGUCUUUAAUUUUAGCCAUUUUAAUUUGGAUGUGUCAUAGCAUAUCACUGUGGUUCUAAUUAGCAUUUCCCUUGAAACUAAUGAUGUUGACUAUUCAUGUGCUUGAUGGUCAUUUAUAUAUCUGCUUUUGUGAAGUGGCUAUUGGAAUGUUCUACUCAUUUAAAAAAUAGAUUACUUUUAAAAUUAUU